rnacentral:rRNA from 1 species
AUUGAACGCUGGCGGCAUGCUUUACACAUGCAAGUCGAGCGGUAACAGGCCGCAAGGUGCUGACGAGUGGCGAACGGGUGAGUAAUGCAUCGGAACGUGCCCAGUCGUGGGGGAUAACUACUCGAAAGAGUAGCUAAUACCGCAUACGAUCUAUGGAUGAAAGCGGGGGACCGUAAGGCCUCGCGCGAUUGGAGCGGCCGAUGUCAGAUUAGGUAGUUGGUGGGGUAAAGGCUCACCAAGCCAACGAUCUGUAGCUGGUCUGAGAGGACGACCAGCCACACUGGGACUGAGACACGGCCCAGACUCCUACGGGAGGCAGCAGUGGGGAAUUUUGGACAAAGGGCGCAAGCCUGAUCCAGCAAUGCCGCGUGCAGGAAGAAGGCCUUCGGGUUGUAAACUGCUUUUGUACGGAACGAAACGGCUCUGGUUAAUACCCGGGGCUAAUGACGGUACCGUAAGAAUAAGCACCGGCUAACUACGUG